AAUGGCGAAUGAACGUGGAGGAGCUCAACAUGAGAAUUGUGGCCUUCGGCCUUGAAUUGUAAUCUCAAGAUGUACUGCCAACGGAGGCGCAGGCGUAAGCCUCUUGGAAAAGAGCAUCGUUGAGGGUGAGGAUCCUGUUCGUCUCCUGCAGACCUCCGUGUACGGCGUACUUUCAAAGAGUCACGUUCCUUGGGAUUGGAGCGCAAAUCGGGUGGUAAAUUUCAUCUAAAGCUAAAUAUGGGUUCGAGACCGAUAGCAAACAAGUACCAUGAGGGAAAGAUGAAAAGGACUUUGAAAAGAGAGUUAAAAGUGCCUGAACUCGCUGUAAGGAAAGCGGAUGGAACCAGUCUNGCUUGGCAAGANUGUCGCGCCGUUGCGCGGGGCUGAAGGGGACAGGUUGAACUUGAAAUUCCUUGUNCCUGGAAGUGCACGCGUGCCGCGAUGUUUCUUGCCUUGCUUGUCACAAGCGGUUUGCGAUUGAAGACGACCUCUCGGGACAUGGAAGCUCGCCCCAGGGUGUGCGAACGUGCCUUGCAGAACUUAGUCGUAGACUGGCGCUCUGCCCAAGCNGNGGGCNGUAGCCAGCGCAGGUGGUGUGAAAACAGCUUGCGUUGCCCUUUGUUACGAGGGGCGCUGGUUUACGCCCGACUAUUGGUGCACUUGCUUUUGUGACUGAAUGGUUCUAUUCGACCCGUCUUG
rnacentral:rRNA from 1 species